rnacentral:rRNA from 1 species
UAUAGUUAUUAGCACUUGUUAUUUGUGGUUUAGUUUUAGCCUAAUUAUUAACUUAGUUAACUGUAAAAGAAACAUCUAAUUUUUUUAGUAUUUGGUGAAUGAAUUAUAUUUUUUGUGUGAUAGUGAAUAAGUACCGAGAGGGAAAAAUAGAGGGGUUAAGUAGUGGAAUAGUAGAAAUUAAAUUUUGUACCUUUUGUAUCAUGGUUUUUCUAGGUGUACUUGGUAUUAAUGUUGCCCGAAAAAAACUGAGCUAUUUUUUGGCGUGGCGUUAGCGUAGUAAAGCUAUGUUUAGACCUAAAAAUAGGAGUGAAAUGCUUUUCGAAGUUUUUGAUUGCUGGCUAGCCAAGAAAUGUAUUAAAGUACAGUUCUGCAACAUAUUUGACUUAAUUUAUAAGCAAUAUUAAUAAACCGAAUAUUGGGCAGGGUUUACUUUUUAAGGGAUAAGCUUUAAAAAGGAGCUAAGAGAUCAGGAGAAGUAGAUAAAACAUUUGGUAGGCUUAGAAUUGGCUAUCUAGUUUUCGAACUUUGUUAUAAAGUAGUUAAAAUUAACUUAGGUUUACUGAGAUUCUUAAUGUUCUCUAUAAAUUUUAUGUGUUAGUAUUGGCACUAUCAAUUAAACUAAUGGAUUGAUUUGUUUCUGAAAAAAUGAGUAUUCAAGUGGACUAUAUAUUUUAACUAAAUUAUUAUUUAUAAAAGAUAAAUUAGCUAUUUAGAUAACAAAAAUAUAAGUUAUAUAGUAAUUAAGUAUGCAAUAAUAAUUUGAAUAAAGGAAUUCGGCAAAAAUAAGCUCCGCCUGUUUAUCAAAAACAUCGCUCUUUGUAAAUACUCUAGUAUAAAGAGUCGGACCUGCCCAGUGACUAAAGUGUUAAACGGCCGCGGUACUCUGACCGUGCAAAGGUAGCAUAAUCAUUUGCCUCUUAAUUGGGGGCUAGUAUGAAUGGUUUGACGAGAGCUAAGCUGUCUCUAUUUCAAAUUUUUAGAAAUUAUUCUUUAGGUGAAGAUUCCUAAAUCUAAUUGAGGGACAAGAAGACCCUAUUGAGCUUGAGUGAAGCAAUAUAUUUUGUUGAAUUUAUUCAAAAGUUUCAUUUAUGAAGACAUAAUAUAAUGUAAAUUUUUAGUUGGGGCGACUUAGGAACAAAUAAAACUUCCUAAAUAAUAAGUCAAAUGGGAGUAAAUAUUGGUUAGCAUGCUAGUGUGAUAGAUCCAGUAGUUACUGAUCAAUGGAAAAAGUUACCAUAGGGAUAACAGCGUAAUCUUUCUGGAGAGUUCUUAUCGAAAGGGGGGUUUGCGACCUCGAUGUUGGACUAAGAUAUCCCGGGGGUGUAGCAGCUCCUGAUGGUUGGUCUGUUCGACCAUUAAAAUCUUACAUGAUCUGAGUUCAGACCGGCGUGAGCCAGGUUGGUUUCUAUCUUCAGUUAGAACAACAAUGUCUUCGGUUAGUACGAAAGGACCGCUGGUACGAAAGAUAAAUAGUUUAUAUGAAAAGAAUUUAUCUAAAGGUUUUUAAAUAAUAGAUAAGUAUGGAGACUAGAGUU